AUUGAACUCUGGCGGCAGGCCUAACACAUGCAAGUCGAGCGAGCGGCGGACGGGUGAGUAAUGUAUGGGGACUGCCCGAUAGAGGGGGCUAACUACUGGAAACGGUAGCUAAUACCGCAUACUAUCGGAUAACCCAUAUGGGAUUAGCUAGUAGGUGAGUUAAUGGCUCACCUAGGCGACGAUCCCUAGCUGGUCUGGGAGGAUGAUCAGCCACACUGGGACUGAGACACGGCCCAGACUCCGACGGAGGCAGCAUAGGGGAAUAUUGCACAAUGGGCGCAAGCCUGAUGCACACAUGCCGCGUGUAUGAAGAAGGCCCUAGGGUUGUAACGUACUUUCAGUCGGGAGGCGUUACCGACAGAAGAGGCACCGGCUAACUCCGUGCCAGCAGCCGCGGUAAUUC
rnacentral:rRNA from 1 species